GCCUGCGUGGUGUAGUGGCUAACGCCGUUGUUUUAUAAUUUCUCGACCCGGGUUCGAAUCCUUGUGGGGGCA